CAAGCAUGCACGCUGCUAUUUUCCGUUUCUUUUUUUACUUUAGCGCCUGAAUUCAGGAGGCUUUGCGCGUAAGAAAAGAAACGAAAAAUAGCGCUGAAAGCCUCCCUCGUGGAGGCUUUUUUUUU
rfam:Hafnia alvei FB1, complete genome.